rnacentral:rRNA from 1 species
AGAGUUUGAUCAUGGCUCAGAACGAACGCUGGCGNGCAGGCCUAACACAUGCAAGUCGAACGAAGUCUUCGGACUGAGUGGCGGACGGGUGAGUAACACGUGGGAACCUAUCCUUUGGUGCGGAAUAACAGAGGGAAACUUCUGCUAAUACCGCAUACGCCCUAAGGGGGAAAGAUUUAUCGCCAAAGGAGGGGCCCGCGUAGGAUUAGCUAGUUGGUGGGGUAAUGGCCUACCAAGGCUGCGAUCCUUAGCUGGUCUGAGAGGAUGAUCAGCCACACUGGGACUGAGACACGGCCCAGACUCCUACGGGAGGCAGCAGUGGGGAAUAUUGGACAAUGGGGGCAACCCUGAUCCAGCCAUGCCGCGUGAAUGAAGAAGGCCCUAGGGUUGUAAAGUUCUUUCACUCGUGAGGAUGAUGACAGUAGCGAGAGAAGAAGCCCCGGCUAACUCCGUGCCAGCAGCCGCGGUAAUACGGAGGGGGCAAGCGUUGUUCGGAUUUACUGGGCGUAAAGGGCGCGUAGGCGGCAUGCCAAGUUGGGGGUGAAAGGCCUGGGCUUAACCUAGGAACUGCCUUCAAAACUGGCAAGCUUGAGACCGGGAGAGGUUAGCGGAAUUCCCAGUGUAGAGGUGAAAUUCGUAGAUAUUGGGAAGAACACCAGUGGCGUAGGCGGCUAACUGGACCGGAUCUGACGCU